rnacentral:rRNA from 1 species
CCUACGGGAGGCAGCAGUGGGGAAUAUUGCACAAUGGGGGAAACCCUGAUGCAGCGACGCCGCGUGAGUGAAGAAGUAUUUCGGUACGUAAAGCUCUAUCAGCAGGGAAGAAAAUGACGGUACCUGACUAAGAAGCCCCGGCUAACUACGUGCCAGCAGCCGCGGUAAUACGGAGGGGGCAAUCGUUAUCCGGAUUUACUGGGUGUAAAGGGAGCGUAGACGGCAGCGCAAGUCUGGAGUGAAAUCCCAUGGCUUAACCAUGGAACUGCUUUGGAAACUGUGCAGCUAGAGUGCAGGAGAGGUAAGCGGAAUUACUAGUGUAGCGGUGAAAUGCGUAGAUAUUAGGAGGAACACCAGUGGCGAAGGCGGCUUACUGGACUGUAACUGACGUUGAGGCUCGAAAGCGUGGGGAGCAAACAGGAUUAGAUACCCGUGUAGUC